CUAACACAUGCAAGUCGAGCGGCCGUAGCAAUACGGCAGCGGCAGACGGGAGAGUAACACGUGGGAACGCGCCCUUCGGUCCGGGAUAACCCAGGGAAACUUGGGCUAAUACCGGAUACGCCCUUACGGGGAAAGAUUUAUUGCCGAAGGAACGGCCCGCGUCCGAUUAGCUAGUUGGUGAGGUAACGGCUCACCAAGGCGACGAUCGGUAGCUGGUCUGAGAGGAUGACCAGCCUCACUGGGACUGAGACACGGCCCAGACUCCUACGGGAGGCAGCAGUGGGGAAUAUUGGACAAUGGGCGCAAGCCUGAUCCAGCCAUGCCGCGUGGGUGAUGAAGGCCCUAGGGUUGUAAAGCCCUUUCAGCGGGGAAGAUAAUGACGGUACCCGCAGAAGAAGCCCCGGCUAACUUCGUGCCAGCAGCCGCGGUAAUACGAAGGGGGCUAGCGUUGCUCGGAAUUACUGGGCGUAAAGCGCACGUAGGCGGCUUUCUAAGUCGGGGGUGAAAUCCUGGAGCUCAACUCCAGAACUGCCUUCGAUACUGGAAAGCUCGAGUCCGGG
rnacentral:rRNA from 1 species